CAAUAGCGUAUAUUAAAGUUGUUGCGGUUAAAAAGCUCGUAGUUGGAUUUCUGCCGAGGACGACCGGUCCGCCCUCUGGGUGAGUAUCUGGCUCGGCCUGGGCAUCUUCUUGGAGAACGUAGCUGCACUUGACUGUGUGGUGCGGUAUCCAGGACUUUUACUUUGAGGAAAUUAGAGUGUUUCAAGCAGGCUUACGCCUUGAAUACAUUAGCAUGGAAUAAUAAGAUAGGACCUCGGUUCUAUUUUGUUGGUUUCUAGAGCUGAGGUAAUGAUUAAUAGGGAUAGUUGGGGGCAUUCGUAUUUAACUGUCAGAGGUGAAAUUCUUGGAUUUGUUAAAGAUGGACUACUGCGAAAGCAUUUGCCAAGGAUGUUUUCAUUGA
rnacentral:rRNA from 1 species